rnacentral:rRNA from 1 species
CCCGCCGGACCUGACUGCUAUCGGAUUGAUACUAAGCCAUGCGAGUCAUUGUAGCAAUACAAGGCAUACGGCUCAGUAACGCGUAGUCAGCCUAACCUAUGGACGGGAAUAACCUCGGGAAACUGAGAAUAAUGCCCGAUAGAACAUUAUACCUGGAAUGGUUUAUGUUCCAAAUGAUUUAUCGCCGUAGGAUGGGACUGCGGCCUAUCAGUUUGUUGGUGAGGUAAUGGCCCACCAAGACUAUUACAGGUACGGGCUCUGAGAGGAGUAGCCCGGAGAUGGGUACUGAGACACGGACCCAGGCCCUAUGGGGCGCAGCAGGCGAGAAAACUUUGCAAUGUGCGAAAGCACGACAAGGUUAAUCCGAGUGAUUUCUGCUAAAGAAAUCUUUUGUUAGUCCUAGAAACACUAACGAAUAAGGGGUGGGCAAGUUCUGGUGUCAGCCGCCGCGGUAAAACCAGCACCUCAAGUGGUCAGGAUGAUUAUUGGGCCUAAAGCAUCCGUAGCCGGCUCUGUAAGUUUUCGGUUAAAUCUGUACGCUUAACGUACAGGCCGCCGGGAAUACUGCAAAGCUAGGGAGUGGGAGAAGUAGACGGUACUCGGUAGGAAGUGGUAAAAUGCUUUGAUCUAUCGAUGGCCACCUGUGGCGAAGGCGGUCUACUAGAACACGUCCGACGGUGAGGGAUGAAAGCUGGGGGAGCAAACCGGAUUAGAUACCCGGGUAGUCCCAGCUGUAAACUAUGCAAACUCAGUGAUGCAUUGGCUUGUGGCCAAUGCAGUGCUGCAGGGAAGCCGUUAAGUUUGCCGCCUGGGAAGUACGUACGCAAGUAUGAAACUUAAAGGAAUUGGCGGGGGAGCACCACAAGGGGUGAAGCCUGCGGUUCAAUUGGAUUCAACGCCGGA